AUACGGAGGGUGCAAGCAUUAUUCGGAAUCACUGGGCGUAAAGGACGCGCAGGCGGUCUUUUAAGUUGGAUGUGAAAGCCUACGGCUCAACCGUAGAACUGCAUCCAAAACUAUUUAGCUAGAGUGUGGGAGAGGAAGAUGGAAUUAGUUGUGUAGGGGUAAAAUCCGUAGAGAUAACUAGGAAUACCAAAAGCGAAGGCAAUCUUCUGGAACACUACUGACGCUGAGGCGCGAAAGCGUGGGGAACAAACAGGAUUAGAUACCCUUGUAGUCC
rnacentral:rRNA from 1 species